GGGUAGUAAUGGGACUCUCUCUAUCUCUCGCUUUCUCCAUUGUAGGGGUGCUUGCCUAGACGCUUACUCUAACGCUUAUCUGGGUUCCCAGGAGAUGUAUCAUAGUUGUCGUCUAAGGGUGGAGAGGAGGACAGCCGCAGCAGCAAGCGGCAUGCUGCCCCAUCCAUUCCAGCCGUCGUACAUGGCCGCAUCGAUUUUCAGUUGCCUCACCUCUUGCUGUUCGGUUUUCCUCCUUCUUCCUCCUUUGUUGGUACAGGAUUGUUUGUUUCGUUGGAAGCGAGGCUGCUCGGGUAUGUGACUACAUCAGGUGGUUAUUUGCUCCCGGAGGAGCUUCAGAAGGGUUGCUCACCCACGAACUAUAAGAUUCUUUUGUCCUGGGUACUUGCAUGAUUGAGGAAGAAAUUGGUUAUUCCUAAAUGUGCUAUUGCAGAUCAAAGAUCAUAUAUGUGGCGUCGACGAAUACCAUUGCCUGGCCUUAUUGAUUCUUAAUUCUACUUCCAUGGUCUGAUCUAUCCGAAGUGCAGCCAAGAUCAGGAGAGAGGACAAUAUUUUGGUUGUUUCGACUACUACUUCCUUUUCAGUACUUAUUAUUUUGCAUUGCAUGAUCUGAGGUUUAAGGGAUACAAAUAGUCAUCCAUGAUACAGGUACUACUUAAAUUCAUUGGAACAAAGCAAUUGUAGUUGUACUAACCAUGGGCCAAUGUUCUUAUGGCGGUAAGGCGUCCUAAGAUUAUUUAGCCAUUCCCGUGCUUCCAAAGCGACUCAUGACCCCUCUUAUAACUCUGCUCUGGAAUAUUGAGGUGUUACAAAAACAGUUUGGCCAUUUCUGCCUCAUAAUGAGAGUUCUUCCACAAUUUUGGAGAUUGGUGCAUUCUUUCUGCAGUUUAACACCUGCAUUGGUACUGUUAACCUUUCAGUGAGCGAGUUCACAAGGUCGGCAUGUUAGAUUGCGCAAAGCUUUUGAGGCCAUCUAAAUACCUUUCAUGCAAUCAAUGAAAGCACAUGGCCUAUUGUGACAGAAACUGAACUGAGUAUAGCCCAAGUCGAUAUUUACCUAUUUCAUAGUGCAGACCAGCAGCUGAGAAUGUUCAUUAGAUGAUUUGUUGUGUUGUUCCAAAUGCGCAAGCAACUUGCAGGGGAAUCCAUUUCUUAGAGAAGCAUCAUCAGUUAACUAUGUGUAUGCCUAUUUCAUAAUGUAGACUAGCAGCUGGGAAUUUCUAAUCGAAUGAUUUGUUUUGUUGUUUCCAAAUGUGCAGGCAACUGGAAGGGGAAUGCAUAUCUCUUGUCAUUAUGGUGUACAAGCUUAUUUGGUAUCAGUUUAGAUUGUUCGAUAUGGUGCAAGGGCAUGCGCUAAAUGAGAGAAAGAACCAACACAAGGGAAGGAACAGGGGUCAGACAACUGAUAUCAUGGCAAUCACUCUGUUUCUGCCUUUCUAUGUUAUUGUUUCCAUUCCUUAUGAGGAAGGGGUAACCAUCUGAUUAGGAUAUACAAAAUUGUGUAUUAAACCAUUUAAACAUAUUGACCUACUGGAUGAUUACCUUGUGUGAAGUUGCUUA